CCCUUAGAUGUUCUGGGCUGCACGCGCGCUACACUGAUGCGUUCAACGAGUGUUUAACCUUGCCCGAUAGGGUCGGGUAAUCUUCUGAACACGCAUCGUGAUGGGGAUAGAUUAUUGCAAUUAUUAAUCUUCAACGAGGAAUUCCUAGUAAUGAUGAAUCAUCAGUUCAUCGUGAUUACGUCCCUGCCCUUUGUACACACCGCCCGUCGCUCCUACCGAUUGAGCAAUCCGGUGAAUAAUUCGGACCGAGGAAUUAUAGUGGCAACACUAUUUUUCUUUGGAAAGUCUAGUAAACCUUAUUGCUUAGAGGAAGGAGAANUCGUANCA
rnacentral:rRNA from 1 species